rnacentral:sRNA from 1 species
AGUUAAUUAAGAGGCAACUCUUAACUGGCCAGUCGAGGAAAGACCGAGAGGUUCAAGCUCGGCGGGCAGAAAGUCCUACGAAGUAGUGCUAAAAUGGUAGGGCGGGAGGCUUGGCAGUAGCACAAAAAUGACGAGCCAA